GACGAACGCUGGCGGCGUGCUUAACACAUGCAAGUCGAACGGAAAGGCCCUGCUUUUGUGGGGUGCUCGAGUGGCGAACGGGUGAGUAACACGUGAGUAACCUGCCCUUGACUUUGGGAUAACUUCAGGAAACUGGGGCUAAUACCGGAUAGGAGCUCCUGCUGCAUGGUGGGGGUUGGAAAGUUUCGGCGGUUGGGGAUGGACUCGCGGCUUAUCAGCUUGUUGGUGGGGUAGUGGCUUACCAAGGCUUUGACGGGUAGCCGGCCUGAGAGGGUGACCGGGCAACUUGGGAAUGGGGAAAGGGCCCAGGUGCUAAGGGGGGGAGGAGGGGGGAAUUUUUGAACAAGGGCCGGAGGCUGAUGGCAGCAACGCGGGGUGCGGAUGACGGCCUUCGGGUUGUAAACCGCUUUCGCCUGUGACGAAGCGUGAGUGACGGUAAUGGGUAAAGAAGCACCGGCUAACUACGUG
rnacentral:rRNA from 1 species